AGUUACUAGUAAUCGCAGAUCAGAAUGCUGCGGUGAAUGCGUUCCCGGGUCUUGUACACACCGCCCGUCACACCACGGGAGUUGGAGACGCCCGAAGCCGAUUAUCUAACCUUUUGGAAGAAGUCGUAGAAGGUGGAAUCAAUAACUGGGGUGAAGUCGUAACAAGGUAGCCGUAUCGGAAGGUGCGGCUGGAUCACCUCCUUU
rnacentral:rRNA from 1 species